rnacentral:rRNA from 1 species
AGGACGAACGCUGGCGGCAUGCCUAACACAUGCAAGUCGAACGGAGUAAUGACUUCGGUUAUUACUAGUGGCGAACGGGUGAGUAACACGUGAAUAAUCUGCCCUGUACGAUGGGAUAACAGCUGGAAACGGCUGCUAAUACCGUAUAUGACCACGCCGAGGCAUCUCGGAGGGGUGAAAGCGCUUAAGCGGUACAGGAUGAGUUCGCGUCCAAUUAGCUAGUUGGUGAGGUAACGGCCCACCAAGGCGACGAUUGGUAGCCGACCUGAGAGGGUGAUCGGCCACACUGGAACUGAGACACGGUCCAGACUCCUACGGGAGGCAGCAGUGGGGAAUAUUGGGCAAUGGAGGAAACUCUUUAACCCCCAGCAAUGCCGCGUGAGUGAUGAAGGUCUUCGGAUUGUAAAGCUCUUUGAUUGGGGACGAAUAAAUGACGGUACCCAAGGAACAAGCCCCGGCUAACUAUGUGCCAGCCGCUGC